UUUAUGGACUGACACUGACACUGAGGUGCGAAAGCGUGGGUAGCAAACAGGAUUAGAUACCCUGGUAGUCCACGCUGUAAACGAUGUCGACCAGCCGUUGGGUGCCUAGCGCACUUUGUGGUAAAGUUAACGUGAUAAGUCGACCGCCUGGGGAGUACGGCCGCAAGGUUAAAACUCAAAUGAAUUGACGGGGGCCCGCACAAGCGGUGGAGCAUGUGGUUUAAUUCGAUGCAACGCGAAGAACCUUACCUACUCUUGACAUCCUGCGAACUUGUGAGAGAUCACUUGGUGCCUUCGGGAACGCAGAGACAGGUGCUGCAUGGCUGUCGUCAGCUCGUGUUGUGAAAUGUUGGGUUAAGUCCCGUAACGAGCGCAACCCUUGUCCUUAUUUGCCAGCGCGUAAUGGCGGGAACUCUAAGGAGACUGCCGGUGACAAACCGGAGGAAGGUGGGGACGACGUCAAGUCAUCAUGGCCCUUACGAGUAGGGCUACACACGUGCUACAAUGGCCGGUACAAAGGGUUGCGAGCUCGCGAGAGUCAGCUAAUCCCGAAAAGCCGGUCUCAGUCCGGAUCGGAGUCUGCAACUCGACUCCGUGAAGUCGGAAUCGCUAGUAAUCGUGAAUCAGAAUGUCACGGUGAAUACGUUCCCGGGCCUUGUACACACCGCCCGUCACACCAUGGGAGUGGACUGCACCAGAAGUGGUUAGCUUAACCUUCGGGAAAGCGAUC
rnacentral:rRNA from 1 species